rnacentral:rRNA from 1 species
GGUAUCGCCGUUAGUCAUGUGCAAAUAUGGAUAGCUGUUUUAGCCGUCUUUAUUGACUGGUUCAUAAGAGUUAUCAGAUAUCACUUUGAUUAAAUUAGAGUGCUUAAAGCAAGUGUGUUACUUGGAUAUAAAUGCAUGGAAUGAUGGAAUAUGUUGUUAUUCUAUUUGUUGGUUUUUGAAUGAUAAAAUGAUUGAAAGGAACUGUUGGGGGCAUUCGUAUUGUUGUGAGAGAGGUGAAAUUCUUAGACCACAGCAAGACGAACUACUGCGAAAGCAUUUGCCAAGAAUGUUUUCAUUGAUCAAGAACGAAAGUUAGAGGUUCGAAGGCGAUCAGAUACCGCCCUAGUUCUAACCAUAAACUAUGCCAACUAGCAAUUUGCUUUGUAUUUUUUAUGACUAAGUGAGAGGCCACGGGAAACCUAAGUAGGGUUAUGGGGGAAGUAUGGUUGCAAAGCUGAAACUUAAAGGAAUUGACGGAAGGGCACCACCAGGAGUGGAGCCUGCGGCUUAAUUUGACUCAACACGGGAAAACUUACCUGGUCCUGACACUAGAAGGAUUGACAGAUUGAUAGCUCUUUCUUGAUUUGGUGGAUGGUGGUGCAUGGCCGCUCUUAGUUGGUGGAGUGAUUUGUCUGGUUAAUUCCGAUAACGAACGAGACUCUAGCCUAUUAAAUAAUACACGGAAUUUUAUCUUCCGCGGUAUUUCUUAGUGGGAUCAAGCG